rnacentral:tRNA from 1 species
AUUUAGGUGGUUCAGUGGUAGAAUUCCUGCCUUCAGUGCGGAAUACCUGGGUUCCUGUCCCAGCCAAUGUA